rnacentral:rRNA from 1 species
CAGAACGAACGCUGGCGGCGUGCCUAACACAUGCAAGUCGAGCGCGAAAAGAGCAAUCUGAGUAGAGCGGCGCACGGGUGCGUAACACGUGGGUAAUCUGCCUCAAGGUCUGGGAUAACCAUUCGAAAGUUUGGCUAAUACCAGGUAAGCUCACGGUGACUUCGGUCGCUGAGAGAAAAGGGGCCCGAAAGGGUCUCGCCAUGAGAUGAGCCCGCGGCCCAUCAGCUCGUUGGCGGGGUAACGGCCCACCAAGGCAACGACGGGUAGCUGGUCUGAGAGGACGAUCAGCCACACUGGAACUGAGACACGGUCCAGACUCCUACGGGAGGCAGCAGUGGGGAAUUUUGCACAAUGGGCGAAAGCCUGAUGCAGCAACGCCGCGUGUGUGAUGAAGGUCUUCGGAUCGUAAAGCACUUUCGACCGGGACGAACAAGCCUGGCCACACCAGGCCCUGACGGUACCGGGAGAAGAAGCACCGGCUAACUCUGUGCCAGCAGCCGCGGUAA